rnacentral:rRNA from 1 species
CCUACGGGUGGCAGCAGUGGGGGAUAUUGCACAAUGGGCGGAACCCUGAUGCAGCGACGCCGCGUGGGUGAAGACGCGCCUCGGCGCGGAAAGCCCUGUCUGCAGGGAAGAAAAUGACGGUACCUGAAGAAGAAGCCCCGGCUAACUACGUGACAGGAGCCGCGGUAAUACGUAGGGGGCGAGCGUUAUCCGGAUUUACUGGGUGUAAAGGGGGCGCAGGCGGCGAUGCAAGCCAGGAGUGAAAGCCCGGGGCCCAACCCCGGGACUGCGCAUGGAACUGGGUGGCUGGAGUGCAGGAGGGGCAGGCGGAAUUCCUGGUGUAGCGGUGAAAUGCGUAGAUAUCAGGAGGAACACCGAUGGCGAAGGCGGCCUGCUGGACUGCAACUGACGUUGAGGCCCGAAAGCGUGGGGGGCGAACAGGAUUAGAUACCCCAGUAGUC